AUGGACCUUCCCCCGCCGUCGCUGGAGCCAAACGCGUCGCGGGAGCCGGAGACCCUCGGCAAGGACGAUCAGGAUUGGAUGUCCGCGCUGCGGGAGUCGGUGUCGUUCGGUCGAUUUCUCCAAUUGUAG
rnacentral:rRNA from 1 species